ensembl:lncRNA novel transcript
AUGGCCAGGGUUCCUCUAUCCAUCUGUGGGAAGACCCCAAGUUUGAUACUGAAGAUGUUAAACCAUCUCCAAAGUGACUAUUUCACAUUGACUAUGUUCCCCUAGUUGGAAAGCCAAGGCUCGGUCAUCAUUUCUUUCCACCCCUCUCUGCCUUCCUUCCUUCACCACCAAGGAGGAUGGCUCAGCAGCAGCUCAGUCCCUGCUUGUCAACCACCGACCUCCAUACACUCCAGCCCCGGUCCACAUCCCCCAAGGCUCCUCGUGGGAUUCCUAA